rnacentral:rRNA from 1 species
GACGAACGCUGGCGGCGUGCUUAACACAUGCAAGUCGAACGGUGAAGCGCCUUCCUUUUUGGUGGGUGUGGAUGAGUGGCGAACGGGUGAGUAACACGUGAGUAACCUGCCCCCUUCUUCUGGAUAACCGCAUGAAAGUGUGGCUAAUACGGGAUAUUCUGGGUCUGUCGCAUGAUGGGUCUGGGCAAGAUAUUGUUUCGGUGGGGGAUGGGCUCGCGGCCUAUCAGCUUGUUGGUGGGGUGAUGGCCUACCAAGGCGGUGACGGGUAGCCGGCCUGAGAGGGUGGACGGUCACACUGGGACUGAGACACGGCCCAGACUCCUACGGGAGGCAGCAGUGGGGAAUAUUGCACAAUGGGCGCAAGCCUGAUGCAGCGACGCCGCGUGAGGGAUGGAGGCCUUCGGGUUGUGAACCUCUUUCGCCAGUGAAGCAGGCCUGCCUCGUUUGUGGGUGGGUUGACGGUAGCUGGAUAAGAAGCGCCGGCUAACUACGUG